UGGGAUUUUUCAGGAUAUCCCAGAAAUUCCUGGGAUAUCCUGAAAGAAAAGAUUUUUUCAGGACAGUAUUUCGUAGGGGAAAUAUUCAGUCAAGACUUUUUUUGAAAUGACGGGUUGCUAAAUUUGGUAUUUUGAAAAUAUAUAAAGGCACGCAGAGCACAUAGUCCGACUUCCUCCUUCUACAGUGUACAAUUUCAAGGUGGAACUUUCAAUAAUGCACCAAGUGUUUUACUUAUAGAGGAUGCAUGUAUGUUCUCAGAUUGUUUUUUAAUUUUAUCAUUUUUCACGAAUAACAGAAUGUUGAACUUACAUUUAAUACAGUUUGCAAGGUUUGUCUGCAACUAUGCACACUACCCAAACGUUGUUUUUUAUACAUCAUACAGAGAAUAUACUAUAUUAAAAACAUGUAUUAAUAUAUCUUUCACUUUUACACUUGUGGAAUGUUUUUAUUAGUAACCUUUUUUUAUGGCUGCAUUAAAAAUGUGUCUUUUAGACACAACAAUUUCAAAUUGUAUUGUAUCGUCCUGAACAUGCCUGAAUUGUUUGCCACCGACAUUUUGCAACCUCAAAUCAAUUAAUUCAAAUUGUACUUGAAAAUCACUGUUUACUCAACAAAAAAAAUUGAAGCUGAAUGUGCAUCCUGUUAGUUGGAAAUAAAACUAAUGAUCAGUAGAAUAAAAAGGAAAUUUACAAAACCAGACAGGGGAAAUGAAAACAAAAUAACAAACAUCAUUCAGAUCCCGUUACAUAUUUUUUCAAUACCUCUCGGUCAACUUUGAAGCAAUUUAUCUAAAAAAAUAAACAAGAAUGGUGACAUGUGUCUCUAUACUUGCACGGCCUCACAAUAAAAUCCUGGAAAUUGUUAGUUUUUAAUCUUUUUCCAUGUACAUGAUAUAUAAGAGAUCGAAAUGAAUUAGUGACAAGGUUUCGAAAUAUUUUUUCCGUUACUAUGCCAUUUUGGGGAAUUUUCUGUGACUGUCAUACAAGUGAGAGGUUUGGCUAGCCAUAAAACCAGGUACAAUCCACUAUGUUCUACAUAAGAAAAUGUCUGUACCAUUUCGGAAUAUAACAGUUGUUGUUAUCCAUUUGUUUGAUUUUGCAUUUAGAUUUACUAGUAGGACUUUCCGUUUUUAGAUUUCCUUGGAAUCGUUUUUUAUUUUGUUAUUUUUCUUUUCAUUAGCACUUUUUUGAAUCUUUUGAUUAACUCAUUUAUUAAAUAAUUUUUUUCCCGCUAAAUUUUAAUAAUUUUAAUAUACAUUUUUGUCUCCUUUUUUAUCCCUUUUCUCCUUUCUCCUGCCCCUUUCUCCCGCCACUUCUCUCCCUUCUCCCGCCCCUCUCUCCCAUGCUCCCAAAACCCUGUCCAGGCCCUCAGAAAAGCAAUCCCUAUGUCUCGCUUGCAAGACAAAAACAAAGUGCUUGUAUGAACUGAAGCCGGGUUGAGGAUUUCUUUAAUUCAUCAGUGGAAGUAAAAUAUUGCACUGUAAGGACAAAGGAGAAUAACUCCCAAAUUUUUAAGGACAUCGUUGAUAUUUUCAGAACAUAUAUUAGAUUCCUGACCUCGCAGAAGUUAUAUAAUUUUCUCAACAAGUAUAACAUCAUUUUGUAACUUGAAUAUUUGAAUAUAUUUCAUUAAUAAAUUUCUGCAAAUAUCCAUGUAUAGGAUGUAUAGAAUGUUGUGAUCAAUGCAUUAUACUUUGUA
rnacentral:lncRNA from 1 species